rnacentral:pre_miRNA from 1 species
AUGUAGAGCAAUCUGUCUUUAAGUAGAGAUAAAUUACUCUAAAAAAUUAAUCCUAGUUUUCCCUUCAAGUCAAGUGUCAUGU